CCUACGGGAUGCAGCAGUGGGGGAUAUUGCACAAUGGGGGGAACCCUGAUGCAGCGACGCCGCGUGGGUGAAGGAGUGCUUCGGCAUGUAAAGCCCUAUCGGCAGGGAAGAAGCCAGACGGUACCUGACUAAGACUCCCCGGCUAACUACGUGCCAGCAGCCGCGGCAAUACGUAGGGGGCGAGCGUUAUCCGGAUUCACUGGGUGUAAAGGGAGCGUAGACGGCCAUGCAAGCCAGGGGUGAAAGCCCGGGGCCCAACCCCGGGACUGCCCUUGGAACUGCAUGGCUGGAGGGCGGGAGGGGCAGGCGGAAUUCCUGGUGUAGCGGUGAAAUGCGUAGAUAUCAGGAGGAACACCGGCGGCGAAGGCGGCCUGCGGGACCGCGACUGACGUUGAGGCUCGAAAGCGUGGGGAGCGAACAGGAUUAGAUACCCCUGUC
rnacentral:rRNA from 1 species